AUUGAACGCUGGCGGCAGGCCUAACACAUGCAAGUCGAGCGGAGCGGCGGACGGGUGAGUAAUGCCUAGGAAUCUGCCUGGUAGUGGGGGAUAACGUCCGGAAACGGGCGCUAAUAGCGCAUACUCUCACAUGAGCCUAGGUCGGAUUAGCUGGUAGGGGGGGUAAAGGCUCACCUAGGCGACGAUACCUAGCUGGUCUGAGAGGAUGACCAGCCACAUGGGAACGUAGAAACGGUCUGUACUCCUACGGGAGGCAGCAGGGGGGAAUAUGGUACAAUGGGGGAAAGCCUGAUGCAGCCAUGCCGCGUGGAUGAAGAAGUCCCUCGGGUUGUAAAGUACUUUCAGCGGGGAGGCGUUACCCGCAGAAGAAGCACCGGCUAACUCCGUGCCAGCAGCCGCGGUAAUAC
rnacentral:rRNA from 1 species